GCCUUUGCUUGAAAUUACCUCUGGUUUCCUUGUGCAGCCAGAGGUGUUCAUAAAGUUGGUAAUAUGCUGAAAAGCUUUGGAACUGUUUUCCUCUGCUGGCAAAAUGACAGAGGCUUACAAGUAAAACAUCUUUUCUGCUGUAGGCCUUCCAUGUCUUCCUCUUGAAAGCCUUGGGUUCCCUGCAGCACCCUCCUUAGGCACUGAGCACCAACAGGAGGAAAAGAGCCUGCCCGCUAAGGCUGCUGGGCCCCAGUGUCCAGGGAGGCCUGACCUGGAUGGAGUGAAUCACACCCAGUCUCCCCCAUGGACGUGCCCUGGGGUAAGUGAAAGAAAGCAGAGAAACCAGAGGUGCUCUCCACAGCUUCAUUUCCACACCCUGUGGACACUUCCAGGCCCAACAGUGAACCUUACAAAGUCUGGGCGCCCUUC
rnacentral:lncRNA from 1 species